UACGUAGGACCGAGCGUUGUCCGGAUUCAUUGGGCGUAAAGAGCUCGUAGGCGGCCACUCAAGUCGAAUGUGAAACCUCGAGGCUUAACCUCGAGCCUGCAUUCGAUACUGGGCGGCUAGAGUCUGGUAGGGGGAUCUGGAAUUCCUGGUGUAGCGGUGGAAUGCGCAGAUAUCAGGAGGAACACCGGUGGCGAAGGCGGGAUCCUGGGCCAGUACUGACGCUGAGGAGCGAAAGCGUGGGAGCAAACAGG
rnacentral:rRNA from 1 species